CUGCUGGAGAAGAAUUCUGCUCUCCUGUCAGAAUCUGAGAACUGGAAGGAAUCCACCUUUCCACAGUGCUUGGAGCAAGGGCCAAGGAUUUGGAUCUGGUUGUCUGCAACAACUACUACAAACCAGCUCGUGAAUGAAAGCUGGAUGAAUUUCCUGCCAGCCCUGUUCUGGUGAAGCAGCAAAUAAGGAGGGAGAACACUGCUUUUAAAGAGAUAACUCUAUUAAAACCCAUUUGGCUU